GAUGAACGCUGGCGGCGUGCCUAAUACAUGCAAGUCGAGCGAACGGACGAGAAGCUUGCUUUUCUGAUGUUAGCGGCGGACGGGUGAGUAACACGUGGAUAACCUACCUAUAAGACUGGGAUAACUUCGGGAAACCGGAGCUAAUACCGGAUAAUAUUUUGAACCGCAUGGUUCAAAAGUGAAAGACGGUCUUGCUGUCACUUGUAGAUGGAUCCGCGCUGCAUUAGCUAGUUGGUAAGGUAACGGCUUACCAAGGCAACGAUGCAUAGCCGACCUGAGAGGGUGAUCGGCCACACUGGAACUGAGACACGGUCCAGACUCCUACGGGAGGCAGCAGUAGGGAAUCUUCCGCAAUGGGCGAAAGCCUGACGUAGCAACGCCGCGUGAGUGAUGAAGGUCUUCGGAUCGUAAAACUCUGUUAUUAGGGAAGAACAUAUGUGUAAGUAACUGUGCACAUCUUGACGGUACCUAAUCAGAAAGCCACGGCUAACUACGUG
rnacentral:rRNA from 1 species